rnacentral:rRNA from 1 species
AACGAACGCUGGCGGCAGGCCUAACACAUGCAAGUCGAACGCCGUAGCAAUACGGAGUGGCAGACGGGUGAGUAACGCGUGGGAACAUACCCCUCGGUUCGGAAUAACUCAGGGAAACUUGAGCUAAUACCGGAUACGUCCGAGGUUUUGAUCGACCUUGGAGAAAGAUUUAUCGCCGAAGGAUUGGCCCGCGUCUGAUUAGCUUGUUGGUGAGGUAAUGGCUCACCAAGGCGACGAUCAGUAGCUGGUCUGAGAGGAUGAUCGGCCACAUUGGGACUGAGACACGGCCCAAACUCCUACGGGAGGCAGCAGUGGGGAAUAUUGGACAAUGGGCGAAAGCCUGAUCCAGCCAUGCCGCGUGAGUGAUGAA